CUUACUUUUUUCCAUUCCGCGAGACGACUCCUGACGCACGAUAAUGUUUCGUCACGUUUCUGAAUAGUUCUUAUCUCGUUCAAUUUGUAUUCACGAAGCUCGUACAUUAUUUCAACGUGAAUCAGACGAUAAUAUGAUCAACGCUAUUGUUCGAAUAACUAAAAUGUAUGAUAUUUGAUAUAUAAAAAAAAUAUGAAUAGUUUGAAAUCAUUUUAUUGUUUAUCAAUUAUCGAUCAUUCGCGCUACUGUGGCACGCUACGAUUCAUUACGUGUUGAUAUAUUCUUAAUUACUUUGCGGGUGUGUUGUGGAACUAGUCGGUAAUCCGAGACUGCGCUCCAAGCAAGUUUUAUACAUAUAUCUUUGAUGCCUCGUUUAUUAACGACAGAACCAGUUUUGCGAUGAUUUUGCAGAGAAGACAACUCCGGUUUUUCUAGUAUCAUCGCUUCUGAAAAUAUAGUAACGCGACUGGCAGCUGUAUUUCCUACGAUAUGAAAGUACACAAUAACCGUUGAACUCAAGGUUCAUUAUAAUUACGCUGGACUUAAUCGGAAUGCAGCGAAACCCGUCGUCGUUCUACUAAGAAUAUGCUAAGCAGAAGAAGUGACAGUAGACGACUGUAGCCUGCAAAAUACGCACCGACCGAACGUGCUUGCGUUUCGGAGAAGCCGCGCCGUAGAGAGCGAUGCAUGCGUAAUUAAUGAAACCAAUAAAGCCGUUGGCACCCGUGGAAAUUCGUUAAAUUUAAUUGGACGCGAGUAAUCCCACGGUCGGACGAGGAGCUGCACGAAGAAGGGAGAGAGCGAAUUCGUGGCCAGUGAGGGCGGCCAGGUGGAUUCUAAACGCGACAGGGGAGAAACAUCAAAAUCGCGAUAUCGGCUCUACGGUUGAUGGAGAACGAGCAUCGCGCACGUGGAAUUUACGGAUCGUUAAAAGCCGCGGGAAUUGGUACUACCGGGAAAUAAAGUGUCUCUAUAGAGAUUGCAAAAGAAUCUCAUCCACGAUAUUAAUAAUGUAUUACUGUCUUCACUAUGCUGUGUAUUUUCACUAUA